rnacentral:lncRNA from 1 species
CAAAUGACUUUAUGCUCAGAGAAACCGGCUAAUUCCCCAAAACCCAGAAAGUACUUAAGCUCAAACAUGAUGAAACAGAUAGUCCAGUCACAUAAGCAAAGAAGAAAUUCAAUUCAUAAAAGUUCCCCCAGAAGACAUCUCCAGAUCUCCAUGGCCUCAGUAAAGCUUCCCUUCCUCCCCAACCCCACCAAAAAUAAGCUGGGUGUGCUGGCAUACGCACCUGUAAUCCCAGCUACUCCAGAGGCUGAGGCAGGAGGAUCGUUUGAAUCCAGGAGGCGGAGGUUGCAGUGAGCCGAGAUCACAUCACCGCACUCCAGCCUGGGAAACAGAGCAAGACUCUGUCUCAAAAAAAUAAACAAAUCUUAAACAGCAAAAAAUCCUGGAAACAGCUCAGAUAUCCAAUGGGUCGUUAAAAAAAAAACAGUGGCCCAUCUAUACCACAGAAUACUACUCAGGGAUGAAAAGGAAUGAGCUACUGAUAUGCGGGAACUUCAAUUACUCUGUAAUUAUGGAGAGUCGGGGGAAAAAAAGAAUCAAUCCCAAAAGGUUACGUACUGUGUGAUUCCAUUUAUAUAACGGGAAUCCUUAUUACAAAGUUGCAAUUGUAAAAUCCUUGAAAUUACAAAAUUGUAUGAAUGGAGAACAAAAGAGAGCAAGACUCCGUCUCCAACAACAAAAAAAUUACUGCUUGCCGGGGGUCAGGGACCAGGUGGGGAUGGGGAGGUGGGUUUGGCUAUAAAAGGGGUACCGAGAAGGAUUUUGUGAGGAGGAAACUCACUCUUGACUGUAUCAAUGUCAAUAUUCCAGUUGUGAUAACACAGUAUAGUUUAUUAAUAUAAGAUGUUACCACUGGGGGAAACUGAAUAAAGGGUACACAGCCUUUUUUUUUUUCUUUUCACUUUUUUUUUUUUUUUUUGCAGACUCUCUUGCUGUUGCCUAGGGUGGAGGGCAGUGGUGUGAUCACGGCUCAUUGCAGCCUCGACCUCCCAGGCUCAAGCGAUCCUCCCACCUCAGCCUCCCAAAGUGCUGGGACAACAGGCGUGAGCCACUGCGCCUAGCCAUCUCUACAU